AGAGGUGUUGGGUUUAAAGCACGU
rnacentral:siRNA from 1 species